UAAAGUGGUACGCGAGCUGGGUUUAGAACGUCGUGAGACAGUUCGGUCCCUAUCUGCCGUGGGCGCUGGAGAACUGAGGGGGGCUGCUCCUAGUACGAGAGGACCGGAGUGGACGCAUCACUGGUGUUCGGGUUGUCAUGCCAAUGGCACUGCCCGGUAGCUAAAUGCGGAAGAGAUAAGUGCUGAAAGCAUCUAAGCACGAAACUUGCCCCGAGAUGAGUUCUCCCUGAGACUUAGAGUCUCCUGAAGGAACGUUGAAGACGACGACGUUGAUAGGCCGGGUGUGUAAGCGCAGCGAUGCGUUGAGCUAACCGGUACUAAUGAACCGUGAGGCUUAACCUU
rnacentral:rRNA from 1 species